CACAACUUAAAACUGCUGCAAUGAAACUGAGAGAAUUCGCAAAACUUCAUUAAAGGUCCCGAAUAAACAUGCAGAAUCUAACAAAAAUCAGCUUGUCUUGGCUUUCAAAUGUUGCUUUCCUCUCAAAGUGUCCAUAAACCAUACAUAAAGUUGUAAUGGAAGAAAUGCUGGCCUCCCAAUGCAAGUCCCGGCCUUGUGUUAAAGCCUCUGAGACAAAAACAACAAAAUGCAGUGUGGAGAGAAAUGAAAAAGGCUGUAAUGCUAUUUAAAGAAUGGAUUAAGUACAGUUUACAGAUGCUGGAUUUCUUCCCAUUUUGGAAUGUUAAAUUAGACAACCAAGGAGGAAAAUUCACCUGGUUUGAAAAAUUCA